GCCGAGGUAGCCAAGGUGGUCACGGCGGGCGCCUGAAGAGCGUCAGAUGUGUGUUCGACUCACACCCUCGGCACAA
rnacentral:tRNA from 7 species